GCAGCAACGCCGUGUGAGUGAAGAAGGUUUUCGGAUCGUAAAACUCUGUCCUAAGAGAAGAAACAAAUGACGGUACCUUAGGAGGAAGCCCCGGCUAACUACGUGCCAGCAGCCGCGGUAAUACGUAGGGGGCAAGCGUUAUCCGGAAUCACUGGGCGUAAAGGGUGCGUAGGCGGCUUAGCAAGCCAGGGGUGAAAGGCAUUGGCUCAACCAAUGUAAGCCUUUGGAACUGUUAAGCUUGAGUGCAGGAGAGGUAAGUGGAAUUCCUAGUGUAGAGGUGAAAUUCGUAGAUAUUAGGAGGAACACCAGUGGCGAAGGCGACUUACUGGACUGUAACUGACGCUGAUGCACGAAAGCGUGGGUAGCGAACAGGAUUAGAUACCCUUGUAG
rnacentral:rRNA from 1 species